rnacentral:misc_RNA from 1 species
GUGAAUCAUCGAAUUUUUGAACGCAAAUUGCACUCUCCGCUAAGAGUAUGCCUGUUUGAGGUUCAGCCUAUAAAAAUAGACAUCGUUGCUGUGCCGCGGUUACGUUCGUCGGAAAUUGUGUUAGCUUAAACCUUUUGGUUUAAGCGACUGAAAAUUUGCUUUUGGUGCCGUGAACGUUUCUAAGAUCUAGUGCUUUACACGUUUAAGGGAUCGAUUUUUACUAGACGUGACCAUCAUAUCGGAUCGAGACCAUAAGCUUGCAUUAACUGACCUCAGACAGGU